ACCAAGGCGCUUGAGAGAACUCGGGUGAAGGAACUAGGCAAAAUGGUGCCGUAACUUCGGGAGAAGGCACGCUGACAUGUAGGUGAAGUGAUUUACUCAUGGAGCUGAAGUCAGUCGAAGAUACCAGCUGGCUGCAACUGUUUAUUAAAAACACAGCACUGUGCAAACACGAAAGUGGACGUAUACGGUGUGACGCCUGCCCGGUGCCGGAAGGUUAAUUGAUGGGGUCAGCGCAAGCGAAGCUCCUGAUCGAAGCCCCGGUAAACGGCGGCCGUAACUAUAACGGUCCUAAGGUAGCGAAAUUCCUUGUCGGGUAAGUUCCGACCUGCACGAAUGGCGUAAUGAUGGCCAGGCUGUCUCCACCCGAGACUCAGUGAAAUUGAACUCGCUGUGAAGAUGCAGUGUACCCGCGGCAAGACGGAAAGACCCCGUGAACCUUUACUAUAGCUUGACACUGAACAUUGAGCCUUGAUGUGUAGGAUAGGUGGGAGGCUUUGAAGUGUGGACGCCAGUCUGCAUGGAGCCGACCUUGAAAUACCACCCUUUAAUGUUUGAUGUUCUAACGUGGACCCGUAAUCCGGGUUGCGGACAGUGUCUGGUGGGUAGUUUGACUGGGGCGGUCUCCUCCUAAAGAGUAACGGAGGAGCACGAAGGUUGGCUAAUCCUGGUCGGACAUCAGGAGGUUAGUGCAAUGGCAUAAGCCAGCUUGACUGCGAGCGUGACGGCGCGAGCAGGUGCGAAAGCAGGUCAUAGUGAUCCGGUGGUUCUGAAUGGAAGGGCCAUCGCUCAACGGAUAAAAGGUACUCCGGGGAUAACAGGCUGAUACCGCCCAAGAGUUCAUAUCGACGGCGGUGUUUGGCACCUCGAUGUCGGCUCAUCACAUCCUGGGGCUGAAGUAGGUCCCAAGGGUAUGGCUGUUCGCCAUUUAAAGUGGUACGCGAGCUGGGUUUAGAACGUCGUGAGACAGUUCGGUCCCUAUCUGCCGUGGGCGCUGGAGAACUGAGGGGGGCUGCUCCUAGUACGAGAGGACCGGAGUGGACGCAUCACUGGUGUUCGGGUUGUCAUGCCAAUGGCACUGCCCGGUAGCUAAAUGCGGAAGAGAUAAGUGCUGAAAGCAUCUAAGCACGAAACUUGCCCCGAGAUGAGUUCUCCCUGAGACUUUAGGUCUCCUGAAGGAACGUUGAAGACGACGACGUUGAUAGGCCGGGUGUGUAAGCGCAGCGAUGCGUUGAGCUAACCGGUACUAAUGAACCGUGAGGCUUAACCUUACAACGCCGAAG
rnacentral:rRNA from 1 species